rnacentral:rRNA from 1 species
UGAUAGCCCUGCGAAAGUAGGAUUAAUACACCGUAAGAUACAGCGCAGGCAUCUGCUUUGUAUUAUAGACUGCAAGGUCGGUUUUGGUAUGGGCGUGCGCCUGAUUAGGUAGUUGGUGUGGGUAACGGCCCACCCAAGCCUUCGAUCAGUAACUGGUGUGAGAGCACGACCAGUCACACGGGCACUGAGACACGGGCCCG